GCUCCGAGAGCCCAAUUGGCAGAGGCGACUGUCUCAAAAACAGUUUAGUGCGAGUAACUCCUUCGGAGACACUUCGCGAACAAAUCUCGCUCGGAGUA
rnacentral:tRNA from 1 species